rnacentral:rRNA from 1 species
GAUGAACGCUGGCGGCGUGCCUAAUACAUGCAAGUAGAACGCUGAAGGAGGAGCUUGCUCUUCUGGAUGAGUUGCGAACGGGUGAGUAACGCGUAGGUAACCUGCCUGGUAGCGGGGGAUAACUAUUGGAAACGAUAGCUAAUACCGCAUGACAACAGUUAUUGCAUGAUAACUGUUUAAAAGGGGCAACUGCUCCACUACCAGAUGGACCUGCGUUGUAUUAGCUAGUUGGUGAGGUAACGGCUCACCAAGGCGGCGAUACAUAGCCGACCUGAGAGGGUGGUCGGCCACACUGGGACUGGGACACGGCCCAGGAUCCUACGGGAGGCAGCAGUAGGGAAUCUUCGGAAAUGGACGGAAGGCUGAACGAGCAACGCCGCGUGAGUGGAGAAGGGUGUCGGAUCGUAAAGCUCUGUUGUAAGAGAAGAACGAGUGUGAGAGUGGAAAGUUCACACUGUGACGGUAUCUGACCAGAAAGGGACGGCUAACUACGUG